GCGUGAGUGAAGAAGGCCUUAGGGUUGUAAAGCUCUUUCGUCAGGGAAGAUAAUGACGGUACCUGAAGAAGAAGCCCCGGCUAACUCCGUGCCAGCAGCCGCGGUAAUACGGAGGGGGCUAGCGUUGUUCGGAAUUACUGGGCGUAAAGCGCACGUAGGCGGAUGCACAAGUUGGGGGUGAAAGCCCAGGGCUUAACCCUGGAACUGCCUUCAAGACUGUGCGUCUUGAGUUCGAGAGAGGUAAGGGGAAUUCCUAGUGUAGAGGUGAAAUUCGU
rnacentral:rRNA from 1 species